rnacentral:rRNA from 1 species
GAUGAACGCUGGCGGCGUGCCUAAUACAUGCAAGUCGAGCGAAUGGAUUAAGAGCUUGCUCUUAUGAAGUUAGCGGCGGACGGGUGAGUAACACGUGGGUAACCUGCCCAUAAGACUGGGAUAACUCCGGGAAGCCGGGGCUACUACCGGAUAACAUUUUGAACCGCAUGGUUCGAAAUGGAAAGGCGGCUUCGGCUGUCACUGAUGGAUGGACCCGCGUCGCAUUAGCUAGUUGGUGAGGUAACGGCUCAGCAAGGCAACAAUGCGUAGCCGACCUGAGAGGGUGAGCGGCCACACUGGGACUGAGACACGGCCCAGACUCCUACGGGAGGCAGCAGUAGGGAAUCUUCCGAAAUGGACGAAAGUCUGACGGAGCAACGCCGCGUGAGUGAUGAAGGCUUUCGGGUCGUAAAACUCUGUUGUUAGGGAAGAACAAGUGCUAGUUGAAUAAGCUGGCACCUUGACGGUACCUAACCAGAAAGCCACGGCUAACUACGUGCCAGCCGCCGCAGUAA